UAUCCGGAUUUAUUGGGUUUAAAGGGAGCGUAGGUGGACUGGUAAGUCAGUUGUGAAAGUUUGCGGCUCAACCGUAAAAUUGCAGUUGAUACUGUCAGUCUUGAGUACAGUAGAGGUGGGCGGAAUUCGUGGUGUAGCGGUGAAAUGCUUAGAUAUCACGAAGAACUCCGAUUGCGAAGGCAGCUCACUGGACUGCAACUGACACUGAUGCUCGAAAGUGUGGGUAUCAAACAGGAUUAGAUACCCUGGUAGUCCACACAGUAAACGAUGAAUACUCGCUGUUUGCGAUAUACAGUAAGCGGCCAAGCGAAAGCAUUAAGUAUUCCACCUGGGGAGUACGCCGGCAACGGUGAAACUCAAAGGAAUUGACGGGGGCCCGCACAAGCGGAGGAACAUGUGGUUUAAUUCGAUGAUACGCGAGGAACCUUACCCGGGCUUAAAUUGCAGUGGAAUGAUGUGGAAACAUGUCAGUGAGCAAUCACCGCUGUGAAGGUGCUGCAUGGUUGUCGUCAGCUCGUGCCGUGAGGUGUCGGCUUAAGUGCCAUAACGAGCGCAACCCUUAUCUUUAGUUACUAACAGGUUAUGCUGAGGACUCUAGAGAGACUGCCGUCGUAAGAUGUGAGGAAGGUGGGGAUGACGUCAAAUCAGCACGGCCCUUACGUCCGGGGCUACACACGUGUUACAAUGGGGGGUACAGAAGGCAGCUAGCGGGUGACCGUAUGCUAAUCCCAAAAUCCUCUCUCAGUUCGGAUCGAAGUCUGCAACCCGACUUCGUGAAGCUGGAUUCGCUAGUAAUCGCGCAUCAGCCACGGCGCGGUGAAUACGUUCCCGGGCCUUGUACACACCGCCCGUCAAGCCAUGGGAGCCGGGGGUACCUGAAGUACGUAACCGCAAGGAUCGUCCUAGGGUAAAACUGGUGACUGGGGCUAAGUCGUAACAAGGUAGCCGUACCGGAAGGUGCGGCUGGAACACCU
rnacentral:rRNA from 2 species